GUUCAAGCGCAGAUUAAUAGAACUACAGACUGAUAGCGUUACUGACGGGAAUCUAUAGCGUCUUGAGCUGAAUUAAGACUUCAGAAGUCAUUCGUCAUGUCGAAUGACCAGCGGAUAAACUCUCAGGUGUUUUGUGCCAGAAAUGGAGUGUCCACUGAAGACUGAAGAUACUGAAUCUCUACGCCGUGCCAUUGAUCCCUCCUGUGCCUUCAUCUAGACAAGAGACAUUAACUUAACCACUCUCACACGCUCUGUACCUACAUCACCUUCCCUGACAGUCAUAGCUUGGCUCAUCUGAGGGUGAAAUUAUAAGAAUGUGUUAUUUUGCAAAGUGCUCUCUAGGGUUCCUAAAUAAAAUAUGGCAUUGAGGUCAUUUCUUUUGAAUUAAUCCCUUCUUCUGAAAUAUAAGAACCUCUCCUGGUUUAAAUGGCACUUUGUUCCUUACUUCCUGUUCCACUCCCAACCCCAAAUAGAUGCUGACAAGCUGACACAGUAACAUGGAAGAGGGAAAGAAGCUGGAAAGGACCACUACAAAUAAACCCAAUGCCUAACAAUGAAAAAUGUAAAAUAAGAACAAUAAUAAUAAUAAAGAUAAAAGAUGAAGUAACAAGUUUUUUGUUUUUUUGUUUAUUCCAAAUGAUCAUCCAGAUGUCUGUGACAUGUGAUGACAAACACCAUAAUGGAAGGCCUUAGUCAUCACAUGCUUAAACUCAUCAUAUAUUUUUGCAUAUGCUGAACAGGCAGUCAGACAUGCUGUAACUGUGGGGUAGAAAACUGCAUGAACACCAUACAGCAGGGGUCUCAAACUCCAGUCCUCGAGGGCAUGGAAAAGUUGCAUGACACCGACCUUCGAGGAAUGGAGUUUGAGACCUCUGUCAUAUGGAAUAUGACAGGUGUGGUUGAACUUCAUGAAGACUCUGAAGUUUCUCUUCUGGCAGGACAGGAAUGUCGCCUUGUCCUGUGAGCCACUGUAAGGAUGUACUUAGAGUAGAACUGGAGUGUCACCGGCCUCAGGCUCUUCACCUUUUCAAAGACAAAGCAGUCAUUUAGAUAAAAUAUUAGAUAUUGUUUACCUGUAAAUGCACAAAGAGAAUUUAGAAAUGUAAUUAUUGUCAAGAGUGAACAAGCACUGAUAGUGUAAUCUACAGCUGUGGCCAAACGUUUAGAGAAUGAGAAGUGUUGUUUAUUUACAAAGUUUGCUGUUUCAGUGAUAGUUGUAUAUCAUAUUAUAUUACUUCAAACGGAGGUGAUCCAGUAACGCUGCACUAAUGAAUAAGACUAACUAUUCACUUUAGCUAAAGUUAUUAAGUUCGCUAAAGAGUUGGGAUGCUGUGUAAGACAUAAAUAAAGCUCAAAUACAAAGGUUUGGACAGCGUUUUGCAUGUUUCCCUACUCUAGGGGUCUCUGCAAGCAUACAGGGCUCUGACAGGGUACAAGAUGACAACUUUGGAAUUCUACUAGAAACAGUCUAUCAUAUUUGUUUGUCAAAGCUGAAAUCAGGGCAAACUACGCUAAAUUAGCCUUUUUAGCUAGCAGCUACAAUAAGCAUAAAGGUUACUGUACGGCUAUCAUUUGUUAACACGACGCUUGUUCUUAUACAUGUAAUACAUUUAUUACCAACCUGAGAGUUUAUCCGCUGGUCAUUCGACAUGACGAAUGACUUCUGAAGUCUUAAUU
ensembl:lncRNA